rnacentral:rRNA from 1 species
GACGAACGCUGGCGGCGUGCCUAAUACAUGCAAGUCGAACGCACAGUUUAUACCGUAGCUUGCUACACCAUAGACUGUGAGUUGCGAACGGGUGAGUAACGCGUAGGUAACCUGCCUGGUGGCGGGGGAUAACUAUUGGAAACGAUAGCUAAUACCGCAUAAUAUUAAUUAUUGCAUGAUAAUUAAUUGAAAGGUGCAAUUGCACCACUACCAGAUGGACCUGCGUUGUAUUAGCUAGUAGGUGAGGUAACGGCUCACCUAGGCGACGAUACAUAGCCGACCUGGGAAGGUGGUCCGCCAAACCUGGAAUGAGGAACCGCCCAGACUCCCAAGGGAAGCAGCAGUAGGGAAUUUUUGGACAUGGACGGAAGGCUGAACGAGCCACGCCGGGUGGGUGAAGAAGGGUUUCGGAUUGUAAAAGUCUGUUGUAAGAGAAGAACGGGUGUGAGAGUGGAAAGUUCACACUGUGACGGUAUCUUACCAGAAAGGGACGGCUAACUACGUG